rnacentral:rRNA from 1 species
AUUGAACGCUGGCGGCAUGCUUUACACAUGCAAGUCGAACGGCAGCACGGACUUCGGUCGGGGGGCGAGUGGCGAACGGGUGAGUAAUACAUCGGAACGUGCCCAGUUGUGGGGGAUAACUACUCGAAAGAGUAGCGAAUACCGCAGGAGAACGGUGGUUGAAAGCAGGGGAGCGUAAGACCUUGUGCAACUCGAGCGGGCGAUGGCAGCUGAGGUAGUUGGGGGGAUAAAAGCUUACCAAGCCGACGAUCUGUAGCUGGUGGUAGAGGACGGCCAGCCACACUGGGACUGAGACACGGCCCAGACUCCUACGGGAGGCAGCAGUGGGGAAUUUUGGACAAUGGGCGAAAGCCUGAUACAGCAAUGCCGCGUGCAGGAUGAAGGCGUUCGGGUUGUAAACUGCUUUUGUACGGAGCGAAAAGCUUCGGGUUAAUACCCUGGGGUCAUGACGGUACCGUAAGAAUAAGCACCGGCUAACUACGUGCCAGCAGCCGCGGUAAUAC